rnacentral:rRNA from 1 species
UAUGUGAUCGUCUCUCGCAUAUCAAUAAGCGGAGGAAAAGAAACUAACAAGGAUUCCCCUAGUAACGGCGAGCGAAGCGGGAAGAGCUCAAAUUUGAAAUCUUAAAGGGUUUCCCUUUACGAAUUGUAGUUUAAAGAAGUGUUUUCUGUUGAGGUUUUGGUAAAAGUUCUUUGGAAUAGGACAUCAUAGAGGGUGAGAAUCCCGUAUUUGACCUUUACUUUCAACUUUGUGAUACACUUUCAAAGAGUCGGAUUGUUUGGGAAUGCAGUCCAAAAUGGGUGGUAAAUUUCAUCUAAAGCUAAAUAUUGGCGAGAGACCGAUAGCGAACAAGUACCGUGAGGGAAAGAUGAAAAGAACUUUGAAAAGAGAGAUAAACAGUACGUGAAAUUGUCAAAAGGGAAGCGUUUGACACCAGUGUUGUUUUUCUGAAAAUCAAUUAAAGAACUGUUUAUGCUAAGUUGUUUAGACUUUAUCAGCUAACUGUUUAGUUUUGAGCUUUUCUUUAAUGCACUUUUCAGUUAACAAGUCAACAUCAAUUUCUUUUGCUGUAAAAAAGCUUGAGGAAGGUGGCUUGAGAUUCGUCUUAAGUGUUUAUAGCCUCUUGCCUAUGCAGUCGGAGAGAUUGAGGUCUGCAGCGUAGAUCCUUCGGGGCUAAAUGCAUUUGUGCUAAGUUAUAGCAUUUUAUAGACAACUUGUUGACUAUGAUUUGUCUUGUAGCUUACUCGCUUAUGUUAUUUUACCUACGCUUAGGAUGUUGACACACGCGCGUGCUCG